rnacentral:rRNA from 1 species
AACGAACGCUGGCGGCAUGCCUAACACAUGCAAGUCGAACGAGACCUUCGGGUCUAGUGGCGCACGGGUGCGUAACGCGUGGGAACCUGCCUUUAGGUUCGGAACAACUCAGAGAAAUUUGAGCUAAUACCGGAUGAUGUCUUCGGACCAAAGAUUUAUCGCCUUUAGAUGGGCCCGCGUUGGAUUAGCUAGUUGGUGGGGUAAAGGCCUACCAAGGCGACGAUCCAUAGCUGGUCUGAGAGGAUGAUCAGCCACACUGGGACUGAGACACGGCCCAGACUCCUAGGGGGGGCAGCAGUGGGGAAUAUUGGACAAGGGGCGAAAGCCUGAGACAGCAAUGCCGCGUGAGUGGUGAAGGCCUUAGGGUUGUAAAGCUCUUUUAACCGAGAUGAUAAUGACGGUAUCGGGAGAAUAAGCUCCGGCUAACUCCGUG